GGCUCUGUGGCGCAAUGGAUAGCGCAUUGGACUUCUAAUUCAAAGGUUGUGGGUUCAAGUCCCACACAGAGUCA